AAAGAAAAAAAUUGGGUAUCUGUUCAGGUAGAAAAUACAAGCUUUAAGUUGUUUCAUCUUAACAUUAAUCUUUCCCUUUUUUGAGCUCAUCUGUAUACUUCAGUCUAAAUUAGUGGUAAUAUCAGAAAUUUAAUAGCAUAAAAUAUUGUUACCCACACUUAAAAAUGCAAUUUUCACAACUGACUUUUGAUUCAGUAUUACUGGGUAAUAGAGCUGAGAACUCACACAUUUAAAAUGCUUUCUAAAUAUUCUAAAGUUUAUAUUAUGAAACAGUAAAUUGGAAUUAAUUUUCUAGAGUCUUCUAUAAUAUUCUUUCUUCUCUACUGAGCACAGCACAGUACAAGAUUGGUAAUCGGAUUAUCCUAGCAAGAGUCAUGUUAUUUUUUUCUAUUAAAACAGGUCUUGCUAUCUUUAAGCCAGACUUGAUGACCUGUCUGGGGCAAAGAAAGCCCUGGAGUGUGAAGAGACAGAAGACAGUAGCCAAACACCCAGGUAGAUUUUUGCCUCUAAAACCGGUAACAAUUUGAACAACAAGGAAAACAGAAAUUCAAUAAUUGGCAUAAAAAUUCAUGAAAACAAAAGGUUUGUAUGAUGACCUAAUUAAAAUAAUAUAAAGAAUCAACAUGUUAAUGUUUGUUUUUACACAUUAUUGGACAAAAGUAGCCCUGAGAUAGUAAUGUGCAGAAAAUACUAUUAAUUAUAUUCUUGAGACUCUCUUACUGACUUUGGCACUUUGAGAGACUCUAGCACAGGCCCAGGAUUCCCUAGGCAUUUCUUUUAAGAGAACAUCCCAUGGAUAUGAAGCAGAAGGCCAUGUCCACAAAGAGAAAUGGAUGCUCACCUCCUAGAGUCCAGUGGGUGCAGGUUGUAGAAAGAAUAGGCCCUUCUUGGAGGUCCAGGAAGGGGCUAUUGGAACCAUCCUAGAAAAGGGGCCUGGAGCUCCACUGAGCCCUCCUGCCUGCAAGAGCCUCCGAGGGCCCUGGGGGAGGCCAGCCAAGGUGCUCUGUUCUGUCCCUGGCCCUCGAGUCCUGCCUCACCUGCUAGCUUUUUCCACCAGGAAAUCAGGAUGGCAAUCCCCAAUGCAGGCCCACUAGCAGAAGAAGAUCAAGAGUGUCCAGGCCCACACCCAUCUUGGCACAUUAAGUGACUUACUGAAUAAC
rnacentral:lncRNA from 1 species